ACGUCGGGUUAUCACCAGAUCCCG
rnacentral:siRNA from 1 species